rnacentral:misc_RNA from 1 species
CUUAUUUGAUUUUGAAAAUACAAUGAUUAAGUCGUCGAUUUCAUCAAAAUAACAGAAAUUUAAUUAUUUCAAUUGAAACAAAGGUGGAACUAGGAAUCUAUCAUUUGUGGGGAGGGAAUAAAACCUGCUGUAAUGAUACAGUAUAAACUAUUUUGUUGAUGGAUUAUAGAGUGAGAAACUAAUUUGUUUGAUUUUGAAAAUAUAUAGAUUAAAUUGUGUACUUCAUUAAAUAUUAAGUACUAAAGUGUAAAUUAUCGUACAAAAUAUUUAUUUUUAAAAAAUUGUCACUAUACCCCUAACUCUGUCCCUGUUUCUGGUAGAUA